AAGCUCGUAGUUGAAUUUCGGGGUUAGUAGGUUGGUCAUGCCUCUGGUAUGUACUGGUCUCACUGAUUCCUCCUUCCUUAUGAACCGUAAUGCCAUUAAUUUGGUGUUGCGGGGAAUUUGGACUGUUACUUUGAAAAAAUUAGAGUGUUUAAAGCAAGCUAACGCUUGAAUACAUUAGCAUGGAAUAAUGAAAUAGGACGUUCGAUCUUAUUUUGUUGGUUUCUUAGGAUUGACGUAAUGAUUAAUAGGGAUAGUUGGGCGU
rnacentral:rRNA from 1 species